CCUAUUAUCAAACUUAAAGAUAAGAACAUGAUCUGUGCAACGUUGGCGGUAUUUGUUCGAUAUUUUAAUUUUUAAGAUAGUUUUGAGUAUGUGAAACAUCACAAUUUUAUAAUGCUAAUCGCAUACAACAUGAGUACGUUCAUAAGACAGAGAAAGAACCAUGCAAGUACCGCGUCUUUUUAUUACAUACUUAAUAUAAUAUUGUGUAACAAUUU